CCGUGGGAAAACAUCCCGCCGGCCGUGUAUCGGCUAAUCCGGCCCCGGGCUCAUGAAUCAGGACGAGAGUUGAUACAGUACCAGAUCCACCCCCUCAUGAGGAUUCAGAUGACGUAUCUGUCACGAAUUAGGAGGUGGAGAGCAUGAUGAAUCAUCACCGACUAAAAGAGGCCAUGCACGCUCUAGUUUUUACUAAACAGGAAUCCACCGCCCUCAGCUCCGUAGAUGCAUAUAUCGGGGCAACUCGGGACGGACUUGCCAGAGUUACAUAGCUAUUAUCAAAGGAUAUACAAGUAAUAGCUUGUGCAAAUUUAAUAGAUAUAUGCCAGUAGCCCCUGAGACUUGAAGCGGUUAGACCAACCGAUUUAAGGAUUGUUAUGACCUACAGGUUCUUAGGGAGAAGAAUAAUGCGCUAUCCCAGGAGCUGAAAACAAGCCAUGGAGUUGGUGGAGAUGAAGAAAGCCACAAUGACCACCGAUCAAAAGAACAAGCUCUAGGAGGAAAAAGAUAAGCAAGCCAAAGAGAUGAAGAGCUUAAAGGCUCAGUAAUCGGCCGCGUAGAAAGAAAACGAGAAGUUAAAAGGCGGCAUAUUCGGUAUGACCCGUUGAACCAUCCAAAGGAUUUAUAGUAUCCCAUAGUUCGGAUUGUCACAACAUUGUUGUUGCAGGUCUGUUAACCGGUCAGCCUGAAGAGGAAGUAUCCGGAUUUCUAGGCGACGUCCUUAAGGAACUGUCCAUGGUGCAUGAAC
rnacentral:lncRNA from 1 species